CUGUGCCUUCGGGGGCAAGCUUUCCCUCUGGGCAGCUGGAACGGCGCCUUGGCGGCCCGUUCGGGCUGGCGGCGGCGGGUUGGGGAGCCCAGUGGGCUCCCGAGCCGGCACGUCGAUCGAGCUUGCCCUGUCUGAACACCUCCCUUGCUUUUUGCGUACCCCCCGUUUCCUCGGCAGGCUGGCCUGUCCGCAGGACCUUUUUAAACCCGUUGCACUGUCGUCUGCGUCGGAUUUGUAUCAAUGGUUA
rnacentral:misc_RNA from 1 species